rnacentral:rRNA from 1 species
AUGCAACUUGUGACGAGCGGUCGUACUGCCGUUAAUAUCAAUGGGGAAAUUGGUCCCUAUUUCACUACGGGACAAGGUGUCCAGCAAGGGGACCCAAUUUCCCCCUUCCUUUUCAACCUUGUGGUUGAUGCGUUAGCCUUGAUUCUUGACUUGGCAAGGCAGGUAGGCCACAUCAGGGGGAUUUGCCCCCACCUUGUGGCCAAUGGAGGCCUGACCCAUCUCCAAUAUGCUGACGACACCAUUAUGAUGGUGGAGGGUUCGGAUGAGGAUAUCCGGAACCUCAAAUUUCUCCUCCUUUGUUUUCAGGAAAUCUCAGGCCUCACGAUCAACUUUGCCAAAAGUGAGGUCAUGGUGCUCGGGUAUUCCCCGUCGGAAGCCUAGCACAUUGCCAACCGCUUGAACUGUCGGUUGGGGUCAUUUCCGACUACUUACCUGGGCUUGCCGGUUAGUGAUAACCGUCUACUAGAGAAAGAUUUCCACCCGAUAGUUGCCAGGCUC